UCAAUGUUCAUAAGUGAAAUGGGUCUGAAU
rnacentral:piRNA from 1 species